GAUGGGUGGCCGAGUGGUUGAAGGCACCGGUCUUGAAAACCGGCAAUCCGCAAGGGUUCGUGGGUUCGAAUCCCACCCCAUC
rnacentral:tRNA from 1 species